CGGAACGUACCAAGUAAUGGGGGAUAACUACUCGAAAGAGUGGCUAAUACCGCAUACGCCCUAAGGGGGAAAGCAGGGGAUCUUCGGACCUUGCGUUAUUUGAGCGGCCGACGUCUGAUUAGCUAGUUGGUGGGGUAAGAGCCUACCAAGGCGACGAUCAGUAGCGGGUCUGAGAGGAUGAUCCGCCACACUGGGACUGAGACACGGCCCAGACUCCUACGGGAGGCAGCAGUGGGGAAUUUUGGACAAUGGGGGGAACCCUGAUCCAGCCAUGCCGCGUGUAUGAAGAAGGCCUUCGGGUUGUAAAGUACUUUUGUUAGGGAAGAAAAGCUUGCUGCUAAUAUCAGUGAGUGCUGACGGUACCUAAAGAAUAAGCACCGGCUAACUACGUGCCAGCAGCCGCGGUAAUACGUAGGGUGCAAGCGUUAAUCGGAAUUACUGGGCGUAAAGCGAGCGCAGGCGGUUAUUUAAGUCAGGUGUGAAAUCCCCGAGCUCAACUUGGGAAUUGCGCUUGAAACUGGGUAACUAGAGUGUGUCAGAGGGGGGUAGAAUUCCACGUGUAGCAGUGAAAUGCGUAGAGAUGUGGAGGAAUACCGAUGGCGAAGGCAGCCCCCUGGGAUAACACUGACGCUCA
rnacentral:rRNA from 1 species